rnacentral:misc_RNA from 1 species
CGAGUCCGGACGAGAGUCCGCCUUCGCACUUUCUCCCUUGUGAACUUUUUAUCUGUUGCUUCGGCGGGCCCGCGCCCCAGGUGCCCGGCUGCCCCCUCGGAGGUGGCUGGAGCGCCCGCCAGAAGACCCCUUUUCUCCGUCUUGGUGAAUGUCUGAAUAAAAAAAACAAAAUAAAGUA